GAUGAACGCUGGCGGCGUGCCUAAUACAUGCAAGUCGAGCGAACGGACGAGAAGCUUGCUUCUCUGAUGUUAGCGGCGGACGGGUGAGUAACACGUGGAUAACCUACCUAUAAGACUGGGAUAACUUCGGGAAACCGGAGCUAAUACCGGAUAAUAUUUUGAAACGCAUGGUUCAAAAGUGACAGACGGUCUUGCUGUCACUUAUAGAUGGAUCCGCGCUGCAUUAGCUAGUUGGUAAGGUAACGGCUUACCAAGGCAACGAUGCAUAGCCGAUCUGAGAGGGUGAUCAGCCACACUGGAACUGAGACACGGUCCAGACUCCUACGGGAGGCAGCAGUAGGGAAUCUUCCGCAAUGGGCGAAAGCCUGACGGAGCAAUGCCGCGUGAGUGAUGAAGGUCUUCGGAUCGUAAAACUCUGUUAUUAGGGAAGAACAUAUGUGUAUGUAACUGUGCACAUCUUGACGUUACCUAAUCAGAAAGCCACGGCUAACUACGUG
rnacentral:rRNA from 1 species